CGCGAGUUCCUACGCUCCACGGGACCACGACUCUUCGUAUAUUUCUCCUCCGUUUUGACUCUUCAUAGUCGGUUCUUCUUCCAACAAUAGCUCACUCUUCAUCUUACCCUCAGAAUACUCGCCACCCUACCGGAAGAAGAAAACUGUCCUCUUCCUUAUAACAAAAUUUAUCCCCAUCAUCAUCUUCUACCGCUGCGUCACCUUCUUCGCCCUCUCCCUCUGCACGGAUGAUUCCAGUGAUUCUGAAGCCGAAGACGGUGUACGCAAUGUCAGUUCCAGGAGGUCAGAUCUACUACUAAUCCGCACAGGUAAACGUGCCCAUCGUGCCACCGAGGGCAAGGAGAGGAUGGGAGGAUCUUGAUGGCGAUGUGAGGAAAGCUGAGGAUAUUGAAGAAGAUGAGAUGCUUCCACCUCAUGAGAUUGUGGCGAGGGUUGUUUCCACGGAGUCACCUUUGACCACUUUCUCGAUGCUGGAAGGACUCGAGAGGACGCUCGAGGAUAAGAUGCUUAAAUCUAUUUUCAUUAUUUAAUGACUUUUUAUUUUGAAGAGCUGCACUAUGCUUUUCCUGGUUUGCUGUAUCUUUUUAUUUUCCAUUCAGAUUCUGCAAUAAACAUUUUUUUUGGGAGUCA